GAAGAAUAAAACUCAAAGGAAUUGAUGGGGGGCCGCACAAGCGUUGGAGCAUGUUGUUUUAAUUCGAUGCAAAGCAAAGAACUUUACCCGGGCUUGAUAUGUUGUGAAUCCUCUUGAAAAAAAGGGGUGCCUUCGGGGACCUAGACACAGGUGGUGCAUGACUAUCAUCAGCUCGUGCCAUAAGGUGUUGGGUUAAGUCCGCAACGAGCGCAACCCUCAUGUUUAGUUGCCAACAUUGAGUUUAGA
rnacentral:rRNA from 1 species